UGGAAGAUCAGCAAGGAGGAAGUCACUACGCUCAACGAGAAGUCCAACAUACGGAUGCGGAUCUGUGAAUUGCUUCUCCAAUAUUCCCAGGAGGAUCAGCUCAUUGUCAUGAGUCUACCUAUUCCCAGGAAGCGUACUUGUUCAGCUU